UACGGGGGGGGUAAGCGUUGUUCGGAAUUACUGGGCGUAAAGGGCUCGUAGGCGGCCAACUAAGUCAGACGUGAAAUCCCUCAGCUUAACUGGGGAACUGCGUCUGAUACUGGAUGGCUUGGAUUCGGGAGAGGUUGUGGGAAUUCCUGGUGUAGCGGUGAAAUGCGUAGAUAUCGGGAGGAACACCGGUGGCGAAGGCGGCGACCUGGGUCGAUACUGACGCUGAGGCGCGAAAGCGUGGGGAGCAAACAGG
rnacentral:rRNA from 1 species